CAAGGCGCUCACAUUAAGAGCACAAGCCAGAGUCGAGUUUGGAAAGCACAGGGUUUCUUAACCUCCACAUUGACAUUUGGACCUGGAUAAUUCUUCAACGGAGUUGGGGGUGGGAGGCUGUCGUAUACGUUACAGGAUGUACAGCAUAGCAGCAUCCCUGACGUUUACCAAAGGUCAGCUUUCUCUUCUAUGCCGCCCGGUGUGAAGAAUGCCUUACCCCGUGGAAUGCCUCGGGGUAUGAAGCCUGAUUCAGUUCCACUUUGUGUGUGAGUUACCAAUGAUAAAGUGACUGGAGGAGAGAAUGCUUACACCUUACAAGCUGGCCUCUGUUUACUCGUCUGCAAAAUGAAGAGGUUAAAUUGUGUUCCUCAAAGCUUUCCUAUCAGUACCCUAAAGCCUCUGUAGGAAGUGAGGGAGAAGGCAUCAGAAAUGGGGUGAUCCUGGACCCUCUCCCUAGCAACACUUAAACUGACACUGUUUCUACUUAUUGUAUGUGUUUGUGUCGACAUGUGAAGCAAAAAUGAAUUCUGCAAAAAACAAGUAAAAACUUCAUUAAAUGA